rnacentral:rRNA from 1 species
CCUACGGGUGACAGCAGUGGGGAAUAUUGCGCAAUGGGCGAAAGCCUGACGCAGCGACGCCGCGUGAGUGAUGAAGGUCUUCGGAUCGUAAACCUCUGUCAGCAGGGAAGAACGGUCACUGUGCUAAUCAUUAGUGAAUUGACGGUACCUGCAAAGGAAGCACCGGCUAACUCCGUGCCAGCAGCCGCGGUAAUACGGAGGGUGCGAGCGUUAAUCGGAAUUACUGGGCGUAAAGCGCUCGUAGGCGGUAUGUCAAGUCAAGUGUGAAAUCCCCGGGCUCAACGUGGGAACUGCCUUUGAAACUGGCAAACUGGAGUGUAGGAGAGGAUAGUGGAAUUCCAGGUGUAGCGGUGAAAUCCGUAGAGAUCUGGAGGAACACCAGUGGCGAAGGCGACUAUCUGGCAGAUAACUGACGCUGAGGAGCGAAAGCGUGGGGAGCAAACAGGAUUAGAUACCCGUGUAGUC